rnacentral:lncRNA from 1 species
UAUCUUUCCCAAUAGCCUUGAUGAAUUAACAGUCUGCCUUCCAGUCACUUUUUCAAAAGAGAGUUCGUUCCUAGUUUUCGUAUACUUUUUCACAGACCUCAACUCAUAGCCAUUACAAUCAUCUCUCUUUAAGAGAGCCCUGCAAAAAGAAAGAAGUUUGAGAAUUAAAGCAUUACUGGUAGAAAUGCUUAUCUGAGCCUAUACCUCAGUCCUCUCCUUUCUGUUGGUGUAGCAAUGGGAAUCAGAACUCAUGCAUGUGUGCAGGUUUCUCUUCAGAACUAAUGCUUGCUGAUGCCAAAGACAAAUACAUACUUCUGCAAUUGUCUUGUUCUGGAAUCUUUUCUGUAAUGUUAUUAGAUGUGCUGAUUUUUGAUGCUUUUUUUUUCCUCAGCUCCAGCUUUCUCUUUAAUAUAUAUUGGUGGAAGUGUAGAAAUUCCUAAUCUGACUUACACAAAUGAUUUCAAUGAUCCCAGCUCCCAGAAAUUCCUUCUGCAAGCAGAGGCAAUCCAAAAUUAUCUCGCAGAAUCCUAUGAGUGUUCCACCUUGGGAAAGUAUUAUUUGAAGUCCAUAGUGGCUGCUUUCAGUGAAGGAGAGUAUGGACUUCGAGCUUACUACUGGAAUACAUUCUGGGCACCACAGGAUAUUACUGGCUCUCUUAAAAAGUUAAUCCCAUUGGAACAAAAAGAAAUGAGUAGUAAACAAAUACCUCACAUAUUCAGUGCUUCUGGAGAAGGAGAUUUUGAUCUUGUUACAAUGGAGCUUUUUGGUAACAAUGUACCUGUCAUUUAA